CCCCGUCCCUCCAGCACACACGGAGCUCUGGGGAAUGGUAACGGGACCCGGGAGCUGCUCACUGGGGAAUUGAAACCGGAUCUCAGAGAGCACACUGGAGGGAAGGGCCGGGAGCCUGCAGAGCUGCACCCUUAAGUGAGGGGAUCGAGCGAGAUUCAAGGCGAGCGCGGGAGCAGGUGCUCUGCGCCACGCCCACCGAGCGCCCGCGGGCAGGCUGCUCACAGGUAUUGAGCUGCAGCGGUGGCCCAAGGGCCUGCUUGGAAGUUGGCUGAAGCCAGCAUCGCAGCUGCCCUCUGAGCCCUGAGAUGGCAGAAGAAGAUGUAAAUGUUCUGAACCUGAAGCAUUUCCCAUUUUCAUCAAUAACCACCAGUCAAAUUGGGAAGUCAUGAGAAAAGGAGCAGGAAGAAAAUGAAAUAAACCUCCAGAUACAGUGGAAAAGAGGUUAUAUCUACAUGAAGAAAUGUGCUAAGAAGACUAUAAAUUUCUAAAACUUUUCUAUCACCUCAAGCAGAAACUCUGUAACCACUUUCCAAAAAGUGUUCUUAAGACUUUGCAGUGUCCCAAGAGUGACAAAUUCAUGGCAAAUUUUGACUGUUUUGUCAAAGCUGGUCAAACAGCACAAAGUUUCCUUUCUGAAGACCUCCUGGAGCUGACACAGAAAGGUAGUAACCUGACAGCUUUCCUGGAGCACCAUGCCCAGCAUCACACAAGUAGUGAGAAGCAGUUAUGGAAAUUUGAGAACUACGGAAGAAGUGGAAAAAGAAAUGGAGGUACAAACCGUGUAUAAGCCAAAGAGACAGCUUGUACUUAUUCCUUCACUGCUCAGAGAAAAAUAUUAUCCAAGAUCAAUGGAGUAGGCACUUGCAAUGACAGAAUUCUGUCAAUACCAACUGGUGGAGUGUAUUCUAUUUGCUUGUCAAUGCACUUUUUGAUAACCAGAGGCUUUGGCUGUGCAUAUACAAUGGCAAAUAAAAAGCUCAUUUCAAGCAGACGGGGGCUUCCAAACACCUCAAUAUUUUUCAUAAUGUGUGAAAAAUGAGGUUUUUUGUUAGUGUCUUUCUCACAUUUUAUCAGAAAGUUUUAGCAUUGUGACAACAAUUCCUGAAUGUAUAUCGUGUGCCAUAAAUGGCUUGCAUACAUUAAAUAUUCCACUUGAAGUCUGCAUUGCAGGCUGGAUUUUGCUUAUUCCUGGCAUUAUGGUACUAAUGAGAGUAGCUAUAGCUAGAUGUUUUAAGCACUUUACAUAUAAUACCCCAUUUAAUUUUCAUAGCUCAGAUGAGUAUUGUUAGUAUCAUCACUCUACAAAUGAGAACAUUGAGGCACAGGGUGAAUGAAUAACUGGCUGAAGUGUACUACCUAAUAAACUGCAGAGAGUGAAUUCAAAUCCAGGAAUUUGGCUCCAGAGUCAUGCUCCCAACUCCUCUACUGUCUCUAUUACAAAAAUAUGUACAAUUUCAUAUAAACACGUAAGUUAAUAAAUGUUUUUUAAAAUUUUUAUUGAGUUUAUUGGGAUAACCAAUUGGUUAAUAAAAUUAUGUAGAUAUCAGGUGUACAAUUCUAUAAUACAUGAUGUGUAUAUUGUAUUGUGUGUUCACCAUCCAAAGUCAAGUUUCCUUCUAUCACCACUUAUCCUUCAAGUGCCCAUCAGUAGAUGAGUGGAUAAAAAAUCUGUGGCACAUUUACACAAUGGAAUACUAGUUGCCCAUAAAAAAAGGAACUCUUAACUUUUGCAAUGGCCUGGAUGGACCUGGAGAGUAUUAUGCUAAGUGAAAUAAGCUAGUCAGAGAAAGACAAACACCAUAUAAUUUUAUAUGUGGAAUCUACUGAACAAAAUAAACUAACAAACAAAAUAGAGACAGACUCACAGAUACAGAGACCAGACUGACAGCUGUCAGAGGGGAGGGGUGUUGUGGGGGCUGGAUGAGAGGGUGAAGGGAUUAAGCAAAAAUCAACAACUCAUGGUUAGUAAAUGUUUAAAAGAGAGAAACAGAGAGUAUAUGAAGAAAUAAAUCCUAUAAUAACUACAUGAAAAAUUGCAGCCUUUUUUGAAAUUAGAGAAAAACAAAUGAAAAGUCAUCCAAUAAAUUUCUCAGGGUAGCAAAAUGAGUAAAUGUGAGUAAGCGCCAUUUUACAAGGGGUAUGAGACAGCACAACCACUUCCGAUGGCUGUUGGCACAGCAUAUUGACUGAUGUGUUCGUUCCAUAAGAUAAUUUGAAAGCAGCUUAUAGGAGCUUAUGAACCAUAGUUUGUUUGCUUUUCAUUUAGGAAUUCCAGUUUGGGGAAAAUGCCUUAAACAUGACUGUAAAAAUAAACAAAUAAGAGAUAUCUUACACAGAUGUUUGCAUCAUUGGUGUAUAUAAUAGUAAAAAUUUGAUGAUAAUUCAGAUGCACUAUAAAAGGGAAACAGCUAAACAAGCUGUGUUGUGUUAAAAACACAGAACAUCAAAUCGAUAUUAAAAAUAAGAAAUGUAUAAGCUUUAUAAUAUGUGAGUGAAAAAAUGAAUCUGAAAAUAAAAUAGACCCAAAGAUCCGAUUCACUGACUGAACUAUGGAAAAACAAAACAAAAACGCCUAUAAUUGUAAUUUGUUUAACGUCUAGAAAAAGUAUGGAUAUAGAAGUUGCAUUUUUAUUAGUAUGAGUUUGCUUCCUUAUUGAUCUUAUGGUUCUUAAAUUCUCAUUGGCUUGCUCUCUUGUGUAUGUAAAAACAAAUAAA